AGUGAACGCUGGCGGUAGGCCUAACACAUGCAAGUCGAACGGCAGCACAGUAAGAGCUUGCUCUUACGGGUGGCGAGUGGCGGACGGGUGAGGAAUACAUCGGAAUCUACUUUUUCGUGGGGGAUAACGUAGGUAAACUUACGCUAAUACCGCAUACGACCUACGGGUGAAAGCAGGGGAUCUUCGGACCUUGCGCGAUUGAAUGAGCCGAUGUCGGGUUAGCUAGUUGGCGGGGUAAAGGCCCACCAAGGCGACGAUCCGUAGCUGGUCUGAGAGGAUGAUCGCCCACCCUGGAACUGGAACACGGUCCAGACUCCUACGGGAGGCAGCAGUGGGGAAUGUUGGACAAUGGGCGCAAGCCUGAUCCAGCCGUACCGCGUGGGUGAAGAAGGCCUUCGGGUUGUAAAGCCCUUUUGUUGGGAAAGAAAAGCAGCAGGUUAAUACCCCGCUGUUCUGACGGUACCCAAAGAAUAAGCACCGGCUAACUUCGUG
rnacentral:rRNA from 1 species